AAGGCUUUAAGUUAAUUACUAAACUAAUAACCUUCAAAGAUAAAAAUAAAGAUUAUUCUUUAAGCCUUA
rnacentral:tRNA from 1 species